rnacentral:lncRNA from 1 species
CCUGUACCCUCCCGCACACCACAUGGCGAGGGAACGAGUGGAAUGUAGAAGACCCUCUUCGCUUAUUUUUUUCUCUGGAUCUGCUUUCCUGGGGUAAAUCCAGAAUUCUGGAAUUGGCAACCGAAGUCUAUGCUUCUCCCUCUUUGCUUCUACUGGUGGUAUCAGCUUUGCAGCUACUCUUUGCCACUUUUAGAGCUACUGAAAUGCUAGAUUGCCUGUGCUACCUCUCUAGGCUGCCCGAGGCUUUCAAAGGCAUUGAGCUACUAGCGCUAGCCGGUAAAAAGCUGAAGGACAAGUGUUGGUGUGACCCAGCCCACU